rnacentral:rRNA from 1 species
GAUGAACGCUGGCGGCGUGCCUAAUACAUGCAAGUCGAGCGAACAGACGAGGAGCUUGCUCCUCUGACGUUAGCGGCGGACGGGUGAGUAACACGUGGAUAACCUACCUAUAAGACUGGGAUAACUUCGGGAAGCCGGAGCUAAUACCGGAUAAUAUAUUGAACCGCAUGGUUCAAUAGUGAAAGACGGUUUUGCUGUCACUUAUAGAUGGAUCCGCGCCGCAUUAGCUAGUUGGUAAGGUAACGGCCUACCAAGGCAACGAUGCGUAGCCGACCUGAGAGGGUGAUCGGCCACACUGGAACUGAGACACGGUCCAGACUCCUACGGGAGGCAGCAGUAGGGAAUCUUCCGCAAUGGGCGAAAGCCUGACGGAGCAACGCCGCGUGAGUGAUGAAGGUCUUCGGAUCGUAAAACUCUGUUAUUAGGGAAGAACAAAUGUGUAAGUAACUAUGCACGUCUUGACGGUACCUAAUCAGAAAGCCACGGCUAACUACGUG